rnacentral:tRNA from 1 species
GCCGGCGUAGCUCAGUUGGCAGAGCAACGCAUUCGUAAUGCGUAGGUCGGUGGUUCGAGUCCACUCGUCGGCACCA